AGACGAACUGCGACAAAGAGAACGCCGGAACGGAACGUGAACGGGAAUUCAGAACGUUGCAAUCGUUCGAGGGCCUCUGGCUCGCUUUUUGGCAGGCCACGCGGCCAGUCGUCAGUCAGUUGGCCAACAAACUGGUAGCGUCUGGUGUGGCGAGCCAACAAAAGGCUGGCAGGGCGGCCAACACCGGACCCGGCCCGAAUCUGAAUCCGGGUCCGGGUCCGGGUCUGGGUCCGUGUCCGUGUCCGCGUUGGAUCCGCAACAUCUACGGCAGCACGGCUGCCAAUUGAGCGGAGUUUGGGUCUCAAUUUGACGCGUAGCCAGCCAAGAAGAGUGGCCGGCCAACAACAAAAACAGGUGACGCAGGAUGUGGCCAACUGAGGAGGCGAUGGCGGAAGAGCAGGAGGAGGAGGAAACGCAGCGCACUUUUUUGGCCACGGUCCGCGUUUGAUUAGCCAACUCAAACAUCAGGGCCAAGAUCAGGGCAAUUGACAGCUCUGCUCCCUCAGUUUCUGCUUCUGCUUGGCACACAGUCACACAGACACACAGUGCCUUAUGGCCACUGGAUGAAGGACCACAGUGGAGCCUGGGCAGUACGCAACACCUGACGCUGCCCGCCAGGAUACUCCCGUCCGUCUCGAUCAUACAGCAAAUAAGAAACAGCAAAUAAACAAUUAAACAGUAGGAGUAUUGCUCCGCAACUGCCAACAACAUCCAACGACAACCAGUUGCUCUGUGGUGCUAGAAAGUGAGUGUAAACAGUGUGUGCCCUUGUGAGCUGAACUGACCAACGUGCCAAGAAUGAUGGGACGAGGAGGUGGGCACUCUGGCUCGGACCCAAGCGAUUUGGCAGGAGCUGAUUGUUUCAUCUGGCCAGGCUUAAUGAAAGGACUCGUCCUGGCCACGGCUCCAUGUCAAACGCAGCAGGGCAAUCGCCAGCGAAGCCCCAAAGGAUAAGCAUCGUCCAGAACAUCGGAAUCUCCAGCGAAGGAUGCACCGAAAAACCAUAUUAAAAAGAAUAUUCAACCAUGUUAAAUAUUACGCCAAAGGACUAAGAUCCGAAAAGCAACUUUGAAGAUCAGUUUCCACAACAAAACAUAAAAAAUAAAAAAAAAUUGAAAUUAAAUGAAAUAAUACAUAAUAGAAAAAAAGCAAGUUACAACAUUUGACUGCAAUUAUAAUAAUACUUAAUAAACACUUUAUAAUGAAAUUGUAGGAAAUACUUCUUAUAACUUCGAAACUAAAAUACCCAACCUAUAACUAUUUUUCAAAUAGUUGAAAUAGUGCUUAGGAUCAACCAUAAUCGCAUAUGAUAUAACCAGUAACUCAACGAACAGCAAAUUGAGCAAUUAUUAUAGCCAGAUAUUAUAAAGACCUUACAAACACUUAUAAAUAUGAAAUAGUCACAAGGAUUAACCAUCGUGCAAUACAAUACGUCUAAAAACCAACGUCAAAAGUUUUAUAACGAAAAAAUAUUUCUUUAUAAUGAGCACUUUCGAUAAACUAUAAUAAACCUUUAUUAGCGCGGGAAGUCUUCGGCGUGGUGAAAGUAUAUGAUGUAAGCACAGCUGAGGAGGAAGAAUUUACAAUCUAAGGAAGGAAAUGGAGUGAAAACAUCUAAGCGCGGAAAAGUGCUACAAAAUGACGCUGCAGGCCUAAAGGAAGCCUCGUUGGCCAAUUGGGGAGGAGACCCAGAAGUCGAGCCGAUUUUCCGCUGCAACCGACGAAGGUCUGACCAACCAAUCGCAACGCACAGCGGCGACGAAGCCCGGCCGAAAGGGAGCAUCUCCGGAAUUGGAGGGAUAGCCAGCCGCCCUGCAAUGCAUUUCCUUUGGCAACGUGUCAAGUGGCCCCUCACACACACACACACACACAUUAGGAUUCCAGAAGGAUUCUCUGCCUCGCUAACAUGCGCAUCGAGUGGUAUACGUAAUAUAUCAAGUAUACGCCUGUUGGUCGGGCAGAAAGUCUGUGAGUGUGUGCGAAUGGCCAAAAGAAGUGCUGCCAACUGCAUUGCCGGGCUGCCAUCUACAGCUACCCCCGACCCGAGAACACCACCCUCCUCCCGGCCAGGAGGCCAACGACGAGUCCUUUUUGGAGGCAGCGCAUUGGCUGCAGAACGACCGGCGACAGGACGACCAAUCACCAAUCAAAUCGGGGCUUGUGCGCACUAUCACGGCCGUGCGAAGGGCCACAGGCACGGCAUCCAGGACCUCAGCCGGAGACCCCAAGCCGAUUGCCUAUGUCUUAGACAUAGUAUUAUGCCAACGUCUCCUAUAUUAUAAUUUUCUAGUCAUAAGUCACAUGCCCAAGCCAGCGCCCCAGAACAUCGGGGCGUGACACAUUCGUUUUAUCGAUAGAGUUCUUAGUUUCGAGCAGAAGCUAUACGAUGAUGAUUUUAAGAAUGCAUAAGAGAAAAAGGAAUAAAAACUGUAAAGCUUCAGAGCGGCACACAAAA